rnacentral:rRNA from 1 species
AUGAGUUACUAGAAUGUUAAUGCACCGGAUCCCAUCAGAACUCUGCAGUUAAGCACGCUUGAGAUAGAGUAGUACUGGGAUGGGUGACCUCCCGGGAAGUCCUAGUGUUGCACCCU